AUGUACCACUCGUACAUUCCGGUUCCUCCGCGCCGUCCACGCGCACCUGACGGCUGCUCGCUACGUUUUGUUAGCC
rnacentral:sRNA from 1 species